rnacentral:rRNA from 1 species
CAGCCGCCGCGGUAAUACCGGCGGCCCGAGUGGCGGUCACUAUUAUUGGGCUUAAAGCGUCCGUAGCCGGGUUGGGAAGUCCUCCGGGAAAUCUGGCCGCUUAACGGUCAGAAUGCCGGAGGAUACUCCCAGCCUAGGGAGCGGGAGAGGCCGAGGGUAUUCCCGGAGUAGGGGUGAAAUCCUAUAAUCCCGGGAGGACCACCUGUGGCGAAGGCGCUCGGCUGGAACGCGUCCGACGGUGAGGGACGAAGGCCAGGGGAGCAAACCGGAUUAGAUACCCGGGUAGUCCUGGCUGUAAACGAUGCGGACUUUGUGUCGGACAAGCUAUGAGCUGGUCCGGUGCCGGAGGGAAACCGUUAAGUCCGCCGCCUGGGGAGUACGGCCGCAAGGCUGAAACUUAAAGGAAUUGGCGGG